UAGGUGAUUUACAUCAUCUUCUGGCCAGAAGGCCUACUAACAUUUUAUGACUCUUGACAAGGACUUAUCAACAAAGACUUACUUUCUCUAAGAGUAAUUAUUUCAAGGUUUGGCACCAUCUUCCAAAGAUAAAAUUGCAUUCCUAUAGGGCGGAUGUGUAAUGGGUUUACAACAAAGGAAAGAAUUUAUUACCUUAAGGGUCUAAA
rnacentral:sRNA from 1 species